CCUACGGGAGGCAGCAGUGGGGAAUAUUGGACAAUGGGGGAAACCCUGAUCCAGCGACGCCGCGUGAGUGAAGAAGUAUUUCGGUACGUAAAGCUCUAUCAGUAGGAAAGAAAAUGACGGUACCUGACUAAGAAGCCCCGGCUAACUACGUGCCAGCAGCCGCGGUAAUACGUAGGGGGCAAGCGUUAUCCGGAUUGACUGGGCGUAAGGGGAGCGUAGGCGGCCUGCCAAGUCUGAUGUGAAAUACCGGGGCCCAACCCCGGGGCUGCAUUGGAAACUGGCAGGCUGGAGUGCCGGAGAGGCAGGCGGAAUUCCUAGUGUAGCGGUGAAAUGCGUAGAUAUUAGGAGGAACACCAGUGGCGAAGGCGGCCUGCUGGACGGUGACUGACGCUGAGGCUCGAAAGCGUGGGGAGCAAACAGGAUUAGAUACCCCAGUAGUC
rnacentral:rRNA from 1 species